GAUGAACGCUGGCGGCGUGCUUAACACAUGCAAGUCGAACGAAGCACCUUAUUCUGAUUUCUUCGGAAUGAAAAAUUUGGUGACUGAGUGGCGGACGGGUGAGUAACGCGUGGGUAACCUGCCUCAUACAGAGGGAUAACAGUUAGAAAUGACUGCUAAUACCGCAUAAGACCACAGCACCGCAUGGUGCAGGGGUAAAAACUCCGGUGGUAUGAGAUGGACCCGCGUCUGAUUAGGUAGUUGGUGGGGUAACGGCCUACCAAGCCGACGAUCAGUAGCCGACCUGAGAGGGUGACCGGCCACAUUGGGACUGAGACACGGCCCAAACUCCUACGGGAGGCAGCAGUGGGGAAUAUUGCACAAUGGGGGAAACCCUGAUGCAGCGACGCCGCGUGAGCGAUGAAGUAUUUCGGUAUGUAAAGCUCUAUCAGCAGGGAAGAAAAUGACGGUACCUGACUAAGAAGCACCGGCUAAAUACGUGCCAGCCGCCGCCGUAAUAC
rnacentral:rRNA from 1 species